AGGCAAAUCCGGAAAAUCAAGGCUGAGGCGUGAUGACGAGGCACUACGGUGCUGAAGCAACAAAUGCCCUGCUUCCAGGAAAAGCCUCUAAGCAUCAGGUAACAUCAAAUCGUACCCCAAACCGACACAGGUGGUCAGGUAGAGAAUACCAAGGCGCUUGAGAGAACUCGGGUGAAGGAACUAGGCAAAAUGGUGCCGUAACUUCGGGAGAAGGCACGCUGAUAUGUAGGUGAAGUCCCUCGCGGAUGGAGCUGAAAUCAGUCGAAGAUACCAGCUGGCUGCAACUGUUUAUUAAAAACACAGCACUGUGCAAACACGAAAGUGGACGUAUACGGUGUGACGCCUGCCCGGUGCCGGAAGGUUAAUUGAUGGGGUCAGCGCAAGCGAAGCUCUUGAUCGAAGCCCCGGUAAACGGCGGCCGUAACUAUAACGGUCCUAAGGUAGCGAAAUUCCUUGUCGGGUAAGUUCCGACCUGCACGAAUGGCGUAAUGAUGGCCAGGCUGUCUCCACCCGAGACUCAGUGAAAUUGAACUCGCUGUGAAGAUGCAGUGUACCCGCGGCAAGACGGAAAGACCCCGUGAACCUUUACUAUAGCUUGACACUGAACAUUGAGCCUUGAUGUGUAGGAUAGGUGGGAGGCUUUGAAGUGUGGACGCCAGUCUGCAUGGAGCCGACCUUGAAAUACCACCCUUUAAUGUUUGAUGUUCUAACGUUGGCCCCUGAUCGGGGUUGCGGACAGUGUCUGGUGGGUAGUUUGACUGGGGCGGUCUCCUCCUAAAGAGUAACGGAGGAGCACGAAGGUUGGCUAAUCCUGGUCGGACAUCAGGAGGUUAGUGCAAUGGCAUAAGCCAGCUUGACUGCGAGCGUGACGGCGCGAGCAGGUGCGAAAGCAGGUCAUAGUGAUCCGGUGGUUCUGAAUGGAAGGGCCAUCGCUCAACGGAUAAAAGGUACUCCGGGGAUAACAGGCUGAUACCGCCCAAGAGUUCAUAUCGACGGCGGUGUUUGGCACCUCGAUGUCGGCUCAUCACAUCCUGGGGCUGAAGUAGGUCCCAAGGGUAUGGCUGUUCGCCAUUUAAAGUGGUACGCGAGCUGGGUUUAGAACGUCGUGAGACAGUUCGGUCCCUAUCUGCCGUGGGCGCUGGAGAACUGAGGGGGGCUGCUCCUAGUACGAGAGGACCGGAGUGGACGCAUCACUGGUGUUCGGGUUGUCAUGCCAAUGGCACUGCCCGGUAGCUAAAUGCGGAAGAGAUAAGUGCUGAAAGCAUCUAAGCACGAAACUUGCCCCGAGAUGAGUUCUCCCUGACUCCCUGAGAGUCCUGAAGGAACGUUGAAGACGACGACGUUGAUAGGCCGGGUGUGUAAGCGCAGCGAUGCGUUGAGCUAACCGGUACUAAUGAACCGUGAGG
rnacentral:rRNA from 1 species